UAUGAUUGUUUUUUGAGAUAAAUUUAGCAGUACAUCAGUCAUUUAAGGUUUAUUUUACACUUGAGCAAGUGGCAAUGUGUGGCAUAAAACAAGCCCUCCCUAUUGUUAUAAAUGAAGUGUAAUCAAGUAGAUUAUAAUAAUGCAAGGUGAAAUGGGAGACAAAGCAGUUCUUAGCCAGUGCUAUCCAGGCAACUCACCUUUGUACUCCGAAUUUAUCUGGAUUACCAAGAUAAUUGAGGGGAUUUUUGCUCAGGUAAUUGUAGUUGGGUAAUCUGGACUUCUCUUCCAAUUUGAUUUGAAUGAAGCCUCUUAAGCAGAAACAUAUGGGCAUGGAAGAGCAAGCAUCGGAACUCUUAAAGGGCAAUAAAAAGUAUCCUAAGGAUUUAUAAUUGGAUGGCGUCUUCCAUCCAGAUGGAU
rnacentral:misc_RNA from 1 species